rnacentral:lncRNA from 1 species
AGAAACCUCACAAACUCUGAGAUUUCUGCAUGAAUUGAGAUGAGAGGAAGGCUGGCUGAAUGUAGUACAGUUGAAGACUUGAUGUUCUUGUAUAUUUGAAAGUUUCAAACUUAAGGACAGCCAGCUUUUGUCUUAAGUCUUAACAUUCUUUUGGAUAGGGGUUUACGAAUCAUUAUUGGAAGAUUCUUUACUUUUGGAUAGGGGCUUACGAAUCAUCAUUGGAAGAUUCUGAUGGUAUCAGUAUAGUCUUGCACUUUUGUGGUUAAUACACAAUCUAACUUGUGGCAAGACUAAAUAAAUUACUUGUCUAUUUAAGGCAUUGAAACACUAAUCUAAUGAAUUCGGUUAAAAGAGGAGCAAUAGUACACGAGGGUUCAAAGGUGCAUUUUGAUAGGCAGUUAUGAUGCAACAUUUAAGAUUAAUUACAAUAGUUAAACAGGUAAUUAUGUGCUAAAGGGUAAAACAAAUCCAUAUACCUAGCUAUCUCCAUUACGUGAAGGUAAUUUGAAUCUGUUUAUGCCUCUAUAGUUUAAUUUCAGGAAGUUGAACCUUAAUAUAAAAAAGUGAUCCUUGUUUAUGCAGUUGUUUACAAGCAUAGUCAUUUUGGUGUUGACAGCUGCAUUGAUGCUUCUUGGGCCAGGUCUAUGUGAGAUUGAAGUUCUGCUUUAGCGUGUUGCACCAUUUUUUGGGGGUAGUCUUGUUAUAAAGGAUGAAUAUUGUGGCAAAAUAACGUCAGGGACCUCAGGACUAGAUAAGAAAAUGUUGUUCUCAUUGAGGUGAUUAAUAGGUACAUAAGUCUAGUUUGAAGCGGCAGCUUGUGGAAAGUAAUGCGUGUGUGUAUGCUAUCAUUAUUUUCUCUUGUAUCCUUCAUUAUUCGUAUCAUGUAUGUCAUGUAUUCAGGAGAGAGGAGAGUAACUCAUACUUUGUGGUGGCCAUACCACAUAGUAAGUCCUAGGUCAGUAUUUUUUCUUAUUUUUUUCCUCUUUUCCUUUUAGAUUUGCCUUAAGGACUAGAUAAUGAUUGCUUUGUGAAAUCUGGGAGAUCAAUCUUUUAUGAGACCUAUGUAGACAUGCAAGUACUAAUCCCUCAACCCUUCUUGCACACUGUCUGUGGACUCUAUCUCUGAACUACUUGCCUUAUAACUUUAUCCAAUUACUUAUUCCUCCCUUCUCUUUGCUUCUUUAAUGCUUCUCUCUCUCUCUCUGUGAAUAUGUAUAAUUUGACAUGCAUGAUGCAUAUAUAGAUAUGUGUGUGUGUGUGUACACAAACAUGCACCUGAUGCAUGUAUUCUGUGUGCAUGCAUGCUUUCUUGAUUAGGUUUUUUUGGUUUUCUUAAUCUUCUCUCUCUUCUUACUGCUUAGUGAUGAUAGUAGAUAUUCUCACUCUCUCCUUUUUCGUCCUGGUUAUCCUUUCAUUUGAUCAAUUUUUUCCUUCUGUUUUUUACUUAACCAACUCCCCCUGUCGCCCUUCUUUUUCAUCUAAACAACCUGAUUUCAAGGUCUUUUAAAAUGAAACCCCUGCCCAGUCUCUACAGCACUAGACUAGAGAACAUCAUUAUUCUUUUAGAUCAGCAGUUAUAACAAUCUUCAUGCCAACUAUAAGACCUUCAAACCAAGCAUACCACGUUCAUUAUGAGGAUGCAUGAAAAACAUAUUAAGUGCGAUAUAAUAUGCUAGUUCUGAAUUUAGACCUUAAUUUUAUUCAAAGAGUAAUUGUUGGAAGAUAGAUAUUUGGGCAUUUUAUAAGAGUGAUUUUUGGCAAGCAAGGACUUUAUAAAUAUGAAGCAUUUAUUAUGUGUUAAGAGGGUGAUGGGUAGAUAGAAAUAUGACAUGAGCUACUAUCAACUUUCAAAAAUUUGCACUUGAGGAGGUGUUGAAUUAUAUUGGCUUCAAGAUAUGACUUAUCAGCAAACAAUCAAAAAGGGGCCUAAGAGGUGAGGAAGGUUGCAGUCUUAAUGAUUAUUUUAGGUUGCAGUCUUAAUGAUCGCUUGUAAAAGGGAUAUAUUUAGCUGGAAGGAUAAUGUUGAGGUCCACUUAUUACUACAAAACCCAGAAGAAAGAUGAAAGUAGAAAGUUUAAAUUGAUUCUAACUGUUAAAGUGGUUUUGAGAUUCUCCAUUGUGAUCAAGUUGCUUUAUUUUUUCCCUGUCCAACUUAGCCUAUCCUAGAUAAAACAUUUUGUUGAUAUACAUAGCAGUCGAAGAUAAAUUAUCAGCGUGUGGAUUUAUAUUCAGCUCGUGCGUCCAUGCUGCACAAAAAAGGACAGUCGCAUCUUAUAGGAAGUUCUGAAGGCAAAAAGUACCUGCUCUAAAUUUAUUUGGCUUACCAUUUGUUUUAUACGAGUACCUCUUUUCUUACCUUCCAAUUUUAGGAUGUGUAGGCCCAAUAGCCUGCAGAAUAAAUAAAUAAAUAAAUAAUUGUUUGUAUAGUUUAGAGAUAGUAGAUCACAUUCAAUAGUUUGGACCUUCACUUUAGAAUCCCAAUCUUAGAAUUUCAUCUUAUCAGAUUCCUCCUCAAAUCUAGUCAACCUUAUUGUAGCAUGCCUAUUAGCUCUCUGUAUGAAUGUAAAUAUCAUGGCCAACUGUUACACUUUACUCUCCUAGAUUGCUGUGAAUAGAAAAUUCAGUCUUUUCUUUAACAGAAGUAUGGCCUUUUAUUUGGCUAAUGCUGAUCAUGAAAGAUGAGUCCACCAUUAUUGUUAGGAGAAUCAUGCUAGCUUGAAGGUCAAGGCAUCCUUGCUAAAUUGUUCCUCGACCAAAUACCACCUCCCAAGAUAGGCAUGUGACAACAUUGCACAACCACAGGGAUUAGCCCAUAUAGAAGCUGACAAGACAAGAAAAAUAUCUUCUUGUACGCAUCGCAGGUUGAGGUUCAUCAGAGCAUCUAAAUGCUGAAAAUAAUAGAACAAAAACUAAAGUCCAUAACAGAUUAAUCAUACAAUCCAACACCCUCUCCUAAAUGAAACUCCAAGUUAUAAUUAUCAACUAAGAAAAUAUAGUACAAAUAUUUAACUAACAAAUUCUCAGAUGGGAAACAAAAUUAUAUCAACUUCAACUAAGCUCCAAUUGCUCUUGCUGUGACCUAGCACCCACUAGAGUCUGCUGGUCCCUCUCAUCUGAAAAAGUGAGGA